rnacentral:rRNA from 1 species
UACGUAGGGGGCAAGCGUUGUCCGGAAUCAUUGGGCGUAAAGAGCGUGUAGGCGGCCCGGUAAGUCCGCUGUGAAAGUCCAGGGCUCAACCCUGGGAUGCCGGUGGAUACUGUCGGGCUCGAGUCCGGAAGAGGAGUGUGGAAUUCCUGGUGUAGCGGUGAAAUGCGCAGAUAUCAGGAAGAACACCCGUGGCGAAAGCGGCUCUCUGGAACGGUACUGACGCUGAGACGCGAAAGCGUGGGGAGCGAACAGG